AUGGGCCCCCAUCCGCACUCCUGGGCACAGCAUCCCAGUCUCCCAGGCCUGGCACCUGCUUCCCACUCUGCUGUUGCUCCUCGCCGGGCCCCUCGCCUGUGCUCAUGCUCACCAGCACCACGGCCCUGCUGGAAGCCCCUCCUUCUUGUUGGCUCCCGUCUGCUCUUCCUCCAGGUCUCAGACCCUUGGAGCCUUCCUUGCGCCAUCUCUCCUCCCCUGAGCUCCACUCGGCCUGCAGCCUGGACCUGGAGCUCUUUUCCUGCCGGCGUUGGUUUUCGUUGUGCCAUUCAAUCAGCUCUUAUAGAAAAGACCCCCGACUCGCUUCUCACACCUGCAGAUCUGCCUGCAUUUCCUCCCAUCCCUCUCACCGUGAGCGCGGACAGCGUCGCCUGCAUUCCUUCCUUUUGCCCUGCAUCAUGGCCCUCUGUUCUUUUAAAUCCCAGUUUCUCAGAUAGGACACCAGACGUUCCAGAGGCUGAUGCCCCUGCCCAGCGGCGCAUGGAAACAGAAGAGCCGUGCAGGGGCCUCAUGCUCCUGCAUCCGGGCUCACAGGGCAGAACCCCUUCUGUGAGGCUGAUCCUCCAGCCCCACCCUCUCUCCCCGAGUCAGUCCCUCAACCACACCCUGGCAUACAGAACAGUCUGGCCUUUGGGCGUACCCUGCGCCUCUGCCUCCCAGCCCGGCGGCCAGACACGGGCUCCCCUGAGAGGCAGCUCAUUCACCGGGACCUCCACGGGGACAGGGCUCCGAAUGAGCGUAAUGAGUAACACUGGAGAAUUCUCCUGGGCUUUGAGGCUUAUUGGUGGCUGUGGCCUUCAGGAGGCAAUUAAAAGGUGCAAUAAAAAAGUGAAAUGCUCCUAUUGUAACAGUCCUGACUCUCACGCUGCAGGGAAGAGCUGUGCCAUCCCAGUGCCUCCUAAGCUCAGGCUCAGGGCUAGAACUUUUCCAAGGAAAGACUUGCUUCCUUGGCAAAAGUAUCAGUCACAGCUGGAACAGAGCCACAGGUGCUAA
rnacentral:lncRNA from 1 species